rnacentral:lncRNA from 1 species
GGGGGCUUGUAGGCAAUGAAACUGAUGCACUGCACUUGACGGGUGUUGUCGAAUCCGAUGAUCCUGAUGAAGGCUUCAGGGUACUCCUUCUUGCACUCGUUAACUUCCUUCAACACUUGUGCUGAGUCAGUGCAUCCGAACAAGGGUAGCUUCCACAUUGUCCAGUACCUUCCAUCGUAGUAUCCGGGGGUGUUACCGUGCUCACGGUGCACAAACCCGUUCUAUAAUAUAAAAAAAAACCAAACCACACAUGUUACGACCACAACAACAACAACAACAACAAAAGUCCAAGAUCUAAGCUAGUUUAUGUUUUUUUCUUACCUCCAACUCGAAUUCAACACAGGGAAUCCACUUGUUGCGGAGGAGGUAGUCAACUUCCUUUCCCAACUCGACCUCGGAAAGGUCAGGAAGGUAAGAGAGAGUCUCGAACUUCUUCUUUCCGAUCGGAGGCCACACCUUUGAGAUUCAGACAAAACAACAUAUGAGUUCAUGUAAUUCGAACGAAAAAAGAAGAAGAAGAAAAAAGAUGUAUGACCUUCAUGCAGCUAACUCUUCCGCCGUUGCUUGUGAUGGAAGUAAUGUCGUUGUUGGCCUUGCGGGUGGAAGGGAAAGCAGCGGAGGACUUAAGUCCGGUGAAAGGAGCGACCAUAGUGGCCUGAGCCGGGGAGGCAACCAUUGUAGCGGAAGAGAGCAUAGAGGAAGCCAUUGUGUUCUUUCUCUUUUACUCUUUUGUGUGACUGAGGUUCUGUCUAGUGCUUUGGUCAUCUAUAUAUAAUGAUAAUAACAAUGAUAACAAUCACUUGAGUGAUCGUAGGGUCGAGGAAUCAUGAGGCUUGAGUGGGAAAGGAUUUAGACCGUUGGAUGAUGAGUGUGUGGAUAUGUGUGUGUGUGUGAGGUUUUAAGUCACUUGGUAACGGCCACAGAAGCCUAAGGUAAGGUCCUGAGAGACCCUUAUCGGUUUGUAACGCUAGAACAGUGCCACGUGGAAGAUAAAUCUUAUCGUUAUCUAUGAGUG